AUCCUUAUGCACGGGAAAUACGCAUAUCAGUGAGGAUUCGUCCGAGAUUGUGUUAUUGCUGGUUGAAAUUAAUAAUUUAACCUGACCCGCUCCUCAUAGUUUUAAGUGUCCUAUACACACUGUGGCUAUGUAGGGAAUUUUUGGCAACUUUUUCUGGUUUGUACUUAUGUUCUUACAAG
rnacentral:snRNA from 1 species